UUUGCCUUAGAGGGGUCGGUGAAUUAGCUCAACUAAACCCACUCACUCUUUUCUUUCUUUUACUAGUUUUGUGUCUCAUCCUCAUCUCCAUCCUUUCUUUCUUUCUUUAUUUCAAUCCUCUAUAUAUAUAUGGUUUUUAAAAGUGGCUUUUUUUUUUUUUUUUGGUUUACCAUAAAGCACCUAGAAAAGCUAAUUGUUAAGAUUGAAAUGUUUAUAUAUUUGGUAGCUACACAUUACAUAUAUAUAUAUAUAUAGAUAUAAGUGAUGGGAUGAUUAGGUCAUGAUGAUAUAUAAAAUCUCCCGGUAGAUGUGGGAUUUGGGAUUAACAGGUGAUAAAAAGCGAAAAAAAGGAAAGUUACUUGAGUGUUUGAGAGGGCCUGGCUAUGGUGUGUGUGUUGUGUAUAUGUUAUAUAUUUGCAUGGUUAGAUUAGAUAGAUCAGAGAAAGAGGAAGAGAAGAGAGAGAGAGAGAGAGAGAGAGAGAGAGAGAGAAGAGUGGGGGUCGUGGUCAUUUCUGGAACCCAAGACGCAGUUGGUAGGGUCAGAGGGGGGUCUGCUACUUUUAUUACUUUGUUUGUCCUUUUCACCCCUCCUUCCUUCCCAUCUUUCUCUCUCUCUCUCUCUCCCCCCCUUCCCUCCCAUCCUUUUUAUCUCUAUCCCUUUUCCUUCAUUUCUCACUCAAACACACAUUUCAAUUCCUUUUAUUUUUAUUUUUAUUCUUACUUUUUCUUUCUUCCAUUCACCACCACCACCACCACCACCUCCAUAUGAUCGAAAAGAUCCAAUCUCUUAAUUUCUCUCCCUCUCCGCCCCCAUGGCCAUCUGAAGAAAUUAUUUAUGUGACUUUUUAACUAUAUAAGGAAAGGAAGGAAGGAAGGAAUUGAAGAGGAAAGCUAUGUGUUUUGAGGGGAAUGUUGUCUGGCUCGAGGCCAUUAACUAGAUGUUACUUACAUCUCUGAUUGAUUAUCUCAAUCUGCUUUUGAUAGAUUUUUUUUUUUCCUUUUCUUUUCUUUUCUUUCUUAUUUAGUUAGCGACGUCGGACCAGGCUUCAUUCCCCCCAAUUAUUGCUUCCCACUCAUAUCUAAUUCUUUUCUUUUGACAUUGUUGCGUUGAUCCAAAGAUGACCUUUACCAAGAUGAAAACAAAGUAAGCUUCCAAGGGUGAAUGAGAGAGACAAGAUGAAUAUGUGAAGCAACCAAGUUGCAAGCAACCUCCUGAUGACCAUUUUGAAUGUUCAUUAUCAUGAUGUUGUGGCAUAUAAAAAUUGAUUCAUAGAUUGAAAGUAUAUUUUUCACUAAAAUGAAAUAAGAUGUGAUAGAUCGGACGCAUCUCUGACUUUGGCUGCAUCUUCAAGUCUUGUCAUGUGCAUAAGCAAGUUGUAGUUCAGCAGCUACAGCUGAAACUUCAUUGCUUUUGAUCUGAUACGUUACUGUUCAGAACACUUACUUCAAAAUCCGAGCAGAUCUAGAAUGAGUGAUAAUUAUUUGAAAUUGAUACCUUGAACUGUAUGCAUUUUCAUUAGCAUAUAUUAGGUCCAGAUCAAGUCUUUGUUUAUUUAUUUAUGCAGUUCUUCUCCUUGAGGUUUCUGCUAGUAUAAAAUUUUAUAAUUUAAUGUGUAUAUAUAUAUAUAUAUAUAUAUAGAUAUACAGAAAGAAUUAGAAAUAAGUUACAAUUAGAUUCUGAAUUGAAGUACCGAUAAGGCGAAUAUAGUAUAUGAUAAUGAGCCAGUGAUGCUGGUGUGUGUAUAUAUAUAUAACAUGCAUUACAUAUAUGUAUAUAACAUGCAUUACACAUAUAACAUAUUUCAAUAGCUUGGUUUGUGUUCCUUAACUAGUCAGAGUAACCGCUAGCAUUUUGGGAAUAUUAAUUCAAAAUGAAUGUGGAGGAGAGUUCAAACUGUUUGGAAGAGAUGAUGGCAGUUGCAGAGAAAAGGAAACUUAUUAUUAAGAGUAAUAGAGAUGAGAUUUAGAAGGCAAUGGACGAGAUGAGGACAAGGGGCCGGUGGUGGGAAGUGUGAGUGUAAGGGGGGCUGCAUUUGCAAUUGCAUCGUGGAGUGCUUCAUUCUGUCAUCAAUUUCUGAAGCUGUUACAUAUGAAACACUGAAGGCCUUUAAUGGUCUGACUCUCUCUCUCUCUCUCUCUCUCUCUGCAAAAAUAUCUGAAUCAUUUACCAUAAUACGCUUGAGUCACUUUCACCACUUACUCCAUGGACUCCUGUUUUUCUGACUCACCCAUUAAUGCGGAUGGUGAUGUUUCUAUAUGCAAUUUCUAAUUUGACAUUAUUCUAUAAAUUUCAAAAACUUGUUCGUGUUCUUGUAAUUGAAUUCUUCAUAAUAUGUGAAUUUGAUUUGGGUUUAAUGUUAACAA